AUAAUGCAAGUCGAGCGGACGGAUGGGAGCUUGCUCCCUGAAGUCAGCGGCGGACGGGUGAGUAACACGUGGGCAACCUGCCUGUAAGACUGGGAUAACUUCGGGAAACCGGAGCUAAUACCGGAUAAUGCACAACCUCUCAUGAGGCUAUGCUGAAAGAUGGUUUCGGCUAUCACUUACAGAUGGGCCCGCGGCGCAUUAGCUAGUUGGUGAGGUAACGGCUCACCAAGGCAACGAUGCGUAGCCGACCUGAGAGGGUGAUCGGCCACACUGGGACUGAGACACGGCCCAGACUCCUACGGGAGGCAGCAGUAGGGAAUCUUCCGCAAUGGACGAAAGUCUGACGGAGCAACGCCGCGUGAGUGAUGAAGGUUUUCGGAUCGUAAAACUCUGUUGUCAGGGAAGAACAAGUGCCGGAGUAACUGCCGGCACCUUGACGGUACCUGACCAGAAAGCCACGGCUAACUACGUGCCAGCAGCCGCGGUAAUACGUAGGUGGCAAGCGUUGUCCGGAAUUAUUGGGCGUAAAGCGCGCGCAGGCGGUCUCUUAAGUCUGAUGUGAAAGCCCACGGCUCAACCGUGGAGGGUCAUUGGAAACUGGGGGACUUGAGUGCAGAAGAGGAAAGUGGAAUUCCACGUGUAGCGGUGAAAUGCGUAGAGAUGUGGAGGAACACCAGUGGCGAAGGCGACUUUCUGGUCUGUAACUGACGCUGAGGCGCGAAAGCGUGGGGAGCAAACAGGAUUAGAUACCCUGGUAGUCCACGCCGUAAACGAUGAGUGCUAAGUGUUAGAGGGUUUCCGCCCUUUAGUGCUGCAGCAAACGCAUUAAGCACUCCGCCU
rnacentral:rRNA from 1 species